GACGAACGCUGGCGGCGUGCCUAAUACAUGCAGGUUGAGCGCUGAAGGUUGGUACUUGUACCAACUGGAUGAGCAGCGAACGGGUGAGUAACGCGUGGGGAAUCUGCCUUUGAGCGGGGGACAACAUUUGGAAACGAAUGCUAAUACCGCAUAAAAACUUUAAACACAAGUUUUAAGUUUGAAAGAUGCAAUUGCAUCACUCAAAGAUGAUCCCGCGUUGUAUUAGCUAGUUGGUGAGGUAAAGGCUCACCAAGGCGAUGAUACAUAGCCGACCUGGGAGGGUGAUCGGCCACAUUGGGACUGAGACACGGCCCAAACUCCUACGGGAGGCAGCAGUAGGGAAUCUUCGGCAAUGGACGAAAGUCUGACCGAGCAACGCCGCGUGAGUGAAGAAGGUUUUCGGAUCGUAAAACUCUGUUGGUAGAGAAGAACGUUGGUGAGAGUGGAAAGCUCAUCAAGUGACGGUAACUACCCAGAAAGGGACGGCUAACUACGUG
rnacentral:rRNA from 1 species